AGAACAGAGAGCAAGGUACUGAAAGGAAGGGUCAGAGAAAAACAGAAAGGCAAUGAUUCAGAAGCAGGCCGGGAAAAAUCCUUGUGGGCUGAGCCACCAGCAGGGCAAAACUCAGCCCUUGAGAUCUAAGCUGAGACGAAAAAAUGCUUCCCAGAGCUCAACGUGAUUCCAGCUCACAGUACACUUUCCAUAUCGACACAGACCUUACACGUGUGGCGCUGGGGAUGAGGACUCCAGCAUACGAAUUUUGGGAGGACGAAAUCCAGCCCCGGACACUGGGGCCCAGAGCAUGCGUGGGAAGGCAGCAUCCAUGGACCAUCACAAAGGACUUGGACCACGGCACUCCCUGACCUGCAGCUAGCCGUGUGGAUGGAAGGAGCGCAGGGCUGGUUCAGCGUCUGUAUUUCCAGUUUGGACACACAGAUGGAUCCCAAAGAUCACCUUGAAGAUGAACGGUCCCCAUGGCUGCACUCUGUGGCAUCGGGAUUUGGCUUCUUUCCAGGCAGUGUCCUCUGGAGAUUUACAUUUUUUCAUCCACAGUCAUGGCUGCAUAAACCAGAGGAGAAGCUGCGGAAGCCAAGGCCCAGAGAAGCACAGACUGGACAGGAAGGAGCGGAGGGGAAAGGGCCUUGUGGUCGCCUGGAAGACGGGAAUGGAAGGAUGGUCAGUAGGUAAUGAGACAGCGCCUGGUCCGUCUCCCGCAGGAAGGCGGUGGGGAUUCAGCCAGGUGAGGACAGGUAAUUUCAGCAGGGGUGAAAAUGCAAAAUCCAUGUUGCCGUUUUGACUAGUGAACUGAUUUAACACUGGGGCCUGUCUUACUGUGGACAGUUGGGCAAGGUGAGAAGGGCCCUUUGCAGGCGCCGUAAUUCCC
ensembl:lncRNA